GGCCGUUCCUCGUCCUGACCGACACCUGCGCCGCCUUUGCAGGGACCGCCACGAAGGACGAAGACCACCUCCGAGCGGGACCCGCCGGCGGGGGGCUGCUCGUUACCAAGGCAACCGCUCCUUCUCGGCACCCCAAACACGGCAGAGGGGCCAGGGCCGUGGAAGCAACCAGAAGAGCGCCCUCGGGCCCCGCCUCGAGGCCCUUGGCGGGAAGAGGAGAAGACGAGCGGUGCCGGGACUGGACUGCAAUAACCGGAAGCACCUGGAACGUGAUGGGGCCCUCCGAGAAGCCCCUGCAGGGGUGGGGUGGGGAGGGGGGGUCCACGGAGCGUGGCCCGGGCAGUACCCGCGGCGGCUUCGCCCUUGCUGCCCCUGCUCGGUGGGGCGCGCCUUCUGGCUCUGGAACCGGUUCCCGGGACACGCAGGGAUGCUGUGGAGGACGCAAGGCCCGGCAGGUGGGCGCUUGGAGGCCACCCUCUCUGGGGCCCGCCCCGCCCCUCCGCGGACACGCUCGGGCCGCGUGGAGCACGGGUGGAGCACCACCGAAGAAGCCCGGCCCGCUCGCUGCUCGGGCAGCUCUCGCAGGCGGCAGCGUCGUGGCUCCGGCGCGGGAUGGCGCCCGUGGCCGCCGCGUUCCAGCGCCGAGGACGGACGGAGCCAGCCCUCCUCUUCGCCCAUCAGCCGUGCCGUGGCCUCCAAAGCCACCCAAGAAGGGGCCACCGCGGUGGUGAGGAAGACAGACCCAAGCGCCUGAUUCCCGUUCUGAGAACCUGGCCUGUGACGGGAAGAGGUCCCAACUGAGGUCCUGGCCUUGGCCCCCAUUUCUCCUCCGAGUCAAGACUGCCACGUGGGCUCUGCCCCCACCAUCCAGCGGCUUCUCUGUGGGGAUGUUUGCGGGAUCUGCUCCCUCCCCCACGCCCUUUGAGGCACCGCAUCGAAGGUUGCCAGUCACGUCGUCGUCGUCGUUGUCUCUCAUUAAUGCUUCGGAGGACGAACGAGACAAUGUAAUCGCUCCCUGCACACCUGUCAGGUUCUGCUGGAAUAGAGGUCCCGCUCUCCAAGGAGGAACAUCUGCCACGAGGGGACAUGGCUAGCCUGGGCUUCUUCACACGGAGGAUACAGAGUCCCAGAGAGAACACCGGGAAACGUCCAAAACCUGUCGAUGCCUAGGCUGGAACUGGUAUGGUGUCACUUCUCACACAUUCUGUUGGUCAAGGAACAUCACAAGACACGCUUCUCCGGCUGUUCCGUUACUGAUCUCUCUGACUCCUGACAGAUGGACCAUCAGACCCUCACCUCCAAGCCUGUUGCCAGUGGAAGCCACGCUCGCUGAUUCCAUGUGUGCAAACUCACUUCAGAUUCUCAACCCAACUGUAAGGACAAGACUCCGAGGCCGAUCUGACGGAGAUGAGGAAGAUACGAGACUGGCCACAUCUUUAAAGCGCAGGGGUCCCUCUGAACUGAACCACGGCCAACCUGUCCCACCAGGCGGAAACGACGAGCGGGAUUGCGCAUUCCGUGUCGGGCGGGCUCUGGGGCUCGUGGUUCUCAGCGAGGUGCCGGCCAGUUCCUGGGGACAGGUUCCAGAAAUGCUCGUCCACAGCCCAUCCCUGGAUCUGCUGAGCCUCAGCUCCAGAACAGGGCCUGGGAUCUGAUCUGCGCAGGCUCUCCGCCAGUGGUCUUAACGUGGCAUCCCCCUGCACACUUCUGCAGUGUCCCCCUCACAGGGCUGCUCUGGCUCAGGUCCAGUUUGUGACCCCGCAGGGGAACGUCCUCAACAACCUCGGCUCGGGUGUUACGUAGAUCGCCGAUCUGGACAUCCCCGUAAAUGCGUGGGCUUUGUGGUGGUGGCAGAUUGACGUGCCAAUAAAUCCUGUUUGCUUCGCGUUCAAAGCCGUGUGACCGUGGACGUAAGCCCCUAAGACUCGGUUUCCUCGUCUGUGAAAUGGGCGUAAUAGGAAAACUGAUCUCGCAGGCUGGCGGGCAGAGGUCGAAGGUGGCGACGUAGUCAAAGGCAGAGGCGUUUCCGGAGGUCCCUGGGUGUUGGGAAGUGUCGCCCUCAGCCCAGUCUGCGUCCUUUAAGACCUGCCCCGGACCGGCAUCCAUCCUCCGAGCCAACUCUCUUCACAUCCUCCCCGAAGCCCGUGACCCUGCCCCUGAACAUCUCAUCUCCAAGCUAAACACCCCCGUGGACCCACGCGAGCCGGUGGUGUUUGCCAUUCCCGGAGGUAUCUCAUUUUACAGCUGGGCAAACCCCAGCAUGCCAAGUUCACGUCCUCGCAAAGUCAUGCGGUGACAGAAAUGUCCGGGCAGCAGGUGGCAAAAUGGUGUUGUUAUCGGAACCCCACAGAUAAUCAGGCCUCGCUUCUAUAAUUCUCCAUCUAGUUCGCGGUUUCGAAUUUGCAAGGGCUUUCUGUGCCCCUUACCUCGUCGUUCAGCCCUCCAAGGCCCCUGCGCCGGGUGAGGUCGUUGGGGGAGCUGAACACCACGCCCUCGGGUAGGACCUCGCCUUUUUGAAACGUUUCCACGUCCAUGCUGGCCCUGGGUCUUUCUCGCACCCUCCGGAGAUGGAAAGGGCAGGAAUUAUCAGAGGAAGAAACUGAGAGACAGAGGGGGCUGGCACGGGUCCCACGGAGCCGUUGACACAUUUAGGUGUCAGCCUGGGACCCAGGGUCCCUUCAACACCUGUGCUGAUCCUUGGCCUGACUUUCUUCUCCUUUUCUAAAUAGGUGAGUUUCUCCUACCAUUCUGGGCUGUGAGGACAAAACUAGCAGACAAUGCCCCCAAACUGUGUUCUAGUCAGUAAGAACGACACAGCAUCCAAAACUACUGCUUUUUUUUUAAUUUAUUGAGCUGAGUCAUUACAUCCUUCACUCAAGGGCAAGGUCUAGCCGCGCCAUCACACCUGUGUACGCGUUCUGACCGGCACGAGGCCCCACAGCACGCACCCAAUGCCUCCAGGGCAGACCGGAUGGCCGCCUUGGCUCAGGUUCAAGUCUGGGCCGAGCCUGAGCACUCCUCCCCCCAAGUGGGGGUCAAGAGACUUGGCCAUCUGUGGGCUCCCUCCCUUUUGCUUCCUGCUCACUGGCAGACCCUAGGGCUGGAGCUGGUGGCCGUGAGCCUGUCGGCCUGCCCAGUGACUCCUGCUCCGGCCGUGGCUGGGCUCCUUUCCCGUCCCCGAGGGAGAGAGGAGACACAGACUCCACGCAGUCCCUUGUGCCUCCCUCAUCACGGAGGGGACUGUUCGGGCUGGGGACACAGCCAGCCGUGUUGGGAGUGGUCUGUUGGCUCAGGGGGGCGGAAACGGAGGGACGGGAAGCCAGUCUGCAGAUCAGCAGGGGAGAAUCCUCCCCCACCCCCGCCCCAGGUGGCGUCCCUGUAAAUGCGUCGUGCCUGUCCAGGUGUCGCUGGGGAUAGAAGCUUUGGAAACAGAAUCACAGCACAGGUGGAAGACCGAACGAAGCCAAGUGUAGGCGGAAACUGAGGGUGUCUGUGGGGAUCAUUUCAGGGAAGCAAAAGGGUAAAGAAUAAAGGAUCAGGGCUCUGCCCCUGGCUCAUUGCUUUCUCCUUCCCGUCCCUAUUUCAGGCUUCCGUCUUUUGGUCGCUGUGGGUACCGUUCACCCCCCAUCGUAUCUGUAAGUGGCUUGGUUGUGUCUUGGGUAGAGUUGACCCCCUGAAUUCUGUGUGUGUGGUGAUGGGUCAGGGCGUGAGCUCACGAAGCACGAGCGAGUCUAGAAAAGGCAAGGUCAGGUUGAAGCCGAGGCUGGGGAGGAAACCAUACCGGGGAACCAACGGGGGGAUGGGCGGAGGUAGGCACGAGGAAGGUCCAGUGAUUUUGUGCCCGAUACGUUUGCGUCGUUGCGGAAUUUGUCAACUGAGACUGGCUUCUGAUCCUUUUUGUUUUCUUUCUCUCAGCGAGGCGUCCCUCCCCUCACUGCAUUGUUCUUUCCAAGAUACACCUGUUGAGGGCUAACGUCUCAAGUGACUAUUGAAAGAGAGCUAGCAGACUGGUUUCCCGAUGUUGGAAGUGCUUUGGAAGAUGUUCAGUCUUGAGCAACGUCGCGGGAAGGAAGAUAGUCGGAUUUCGCCGAGUUGGACUCAAGUCUCGGUCUUACUUCUUUUUUUUUUUUUUAUUAAUAUAUAUUUUCUCACAGCAGUUUUCAGUUCACAGCAAGAUUGGGCCGAAGGGAUGGAGAUUUCCCAUGUAUGCUCUGUGCACACGCAUGGACAGCUCCCUGCCCCACUGACAUCCGCACCCCCCCCGCCCCCCACACUACAGUUGGUACAUUUGUCUUAAUCGAUGAACCUACAUCGACACAUCAUUAUCACCCCAAGUCCAUAGCUGGCUGGAGGGUUCACUCGGGGUUAUGCGUUGUAUGGGUUUGGACAAAUGGGUAAUGUCAUGUAUCCAUCAUCAGAGAAACAUAUGGAGUAGUUUCACUGCCCUAAAAAUCCUCUCUGCUCUGACUGUUCACCCCUAACUCCUCCCUGACCCCUGGGAACCGCUGAUCUUUUUAUCGCUUCCAUAGCUUUGCCUUUUCCAGAAGGGCGUAUGUUGGAAUGGCCUUGCUUUUUUAUGAUUAGGUCGAACCAUGUGAAACUGACAUUUUGUAUAAGUCAACAUCGGCUGGAUGUGUCACCGGGCAUCUCCCAUGCCCUCCUGCCCGUGUCCGUGGGUCCUACUGCAGAGUCAAGCCCCUUUUGCCAUCCCAGCUUCCCUACUCAGUCCCCACGUCCUAUAGUGUCUGCCUGUGAAAUCUCUAGAAUCAUGCUGGUUUUCUCUUUCUCUCUGGUAUUGUCUCUGUCCAGACCCUCAUCCUGAUCCGGCUGGGCUCUUGCAAUCACCCCCGAGUGUUUUCCAUUCCUCUUAACGGAAGCAGAGGUAAUGUUUAAAAUCUAGCUCUAGAUCAAGAUCAACCCUUCCCCCCCCCCCACCCCGAUGGAUUAUUCUCUGCUGGAUGACUUCCCCUGCCUUCCCACUGCCUGUGAGUCAGGACCUGGAUGCCACAGCAGGGCCACUGGCAGGGUCUUGUGAUCUGGACCCUCCCUCCACCCUCCAGCUCUGUUCCCUGACUCCCCUCUGCAGACCCAGGCACCCAGCCCUCACACCCUCCCCACCUUCCCCACGUUCGGUGCCUUUGCGUACAUUCUGCUCCUUGUCUUAAUGGCCUCCCCCCUCCCCCUGAAAAAAUCCUGUUCCUCGCCCAAGACCCAGCUCAUCCCCUCCUUGCCCUCAACAUCCGGGUCUCUCGGCAUUUCCCGUUGUCUGUUUGCGCGACUGUAUCCUGCACUUGACCACGAGCCAGGAGCGAGGACUCUGCCUUAUUUAUCUCUGCGUCCCCAGUGCCAGCAUUUGGAAGAAGCACUGUGUGUGUACCCUGAUCAACGCUCUCUACCAACCGUUCAGGGCCGCCAUCAAUCUCCCGCGACACCAGUCAAUCGGACCCAGAGCUGGCAGAGGAGGGGAGGUGAGAAAGACAUCAGAUGGCUUGAUUCAUCUGGUGACGGUAAAGGUUUUGAAUGUCCUGCCCUCGGUCUCCCUGACUACAAUUUUUUCUACCCUUUCAAACAUUUGGGAGCCGUCUCUAUAAACUGUUGACCUUGAUGCCUGUAUUCUAUGUAGUGUGUAUACGUACUACAAUGAUGAUGUACCCUCUCAUCAUUGGAACAUCGGGGCCUACGGGUCACCAAAUAGACCAAAAGAGCCCUCUGCGUACUUUUCCCUGGAGGUGAGCGCUGUAGAUAAGCGCUCUGAAUUGACGGGCUCGUUCAUGGCCCGGCAUCUCCAGCGGCGGCUCUGGACGACCCUCCUCUCUUGGGGUUCAGGCUACUGCAAAUUCUGCUGGGCUUAUAGCUGUC